AAGCAACCCAGAGCCCUCCUCCCGCCUGCUCUGUGUAGGAGACAGCCUGCGGAGCCCACUGCCGGCGCGCAGAGAGCCCAGCAGCUCUUGAGUCCAGGAAGCAAGGGUGGGAGGAGGGACGAGCCAGUGGCAAUGACCCAGACCCGGACGACCCCCAUUGCUGAGCCAGCGGAGCUGCUUGGAGGCAGAGGUUGCAGUGAGCUGAGAUUUUGCGACUACACUCCAACCUGGGCAACAGAGCGGGACUCCAUUCCAAAAAAAUAAGAAAAACAGAAAAAUAAUAAUUACAUCUGCAAAGACCUUAUUUCCAGGCAAGAAGAAUCUGUUGGAUGAUUACAACAUUGCUGGAUUGAUAGCAGCCUCACCUGCCAGGCUCAAACUCCAGAUCCAAAGUCCACAAAUAUAUCAUAAAUCUGAAGAGGAACUGGGAGAAGCUUCUGCUGGCAGCUCAUGCCAUUGUUGCCAUUGAAAACCCUGCUGAUGUGUCAUAUCCUGCAGGAAUACUAGCUAGUGGGCUGUGCUGAAGUUUGCUGCUGCUGCUGGAGCCACAUGUAUUGCUGGUCACUUCACUUCUGGAACCUUUGCUAACCAGAUCCAAUCAUCUUCUGCCACCCACAUCUUCUGGUGGUUACUGAUUCUAGGGCUAACUAUCAGCCUCUCUCAGGGGCUUCUUAUGGUAACCUACCUACCUACCACUGCUGUAUGUAACAGAUUCUCCUCUGAGCUAUGUGGAUAUUGUCAUCCCAUGCAACAACAAGGAAGCUCAAUCACUGAGUCUAAUGUAGUGGAUGCUGGCCCAGGAAGCUCUGUGCAUGUGUUGCACCAUCUCCCAUGAUCAUGCCUGAUCUCUACUUCUAUAGAGAUCCUGAAGAGAUUGAAAAGGAAGAGUAGGCUGCAGCUGAAAAAGGAGGAAUUUCAAAGUGAAUGGACUGCUGUAGUGCAAGUUUACUGCUACUCAAUCUGAGGUUGCAGACUGGUUUAAAGACAUGCAGGUGCCCUCUGUGCCUAUUCAGCAGUUCCCUACUGAAGAUUGGAGCACUUAGCCUACCAUGAAUGACUGGUCUGCAACUUCCACUGCUCAGACCACUGAAUGGGUAAGAAUAACCACUGAGUGGCCUUAAGCUGUUCUUCCACAAGCUCUUAAACAAGAUGGAAAUAACGCUGAUGGAAAUAAACAACAGUUUCCAAGAAAACACGAACAGCUGAAGUGGCAAUGUUUAAGUAACAUCUGGUAGACUUUAACAUGAAUGUUAUUAAGCAGGAAAUUAUGAUCUUUUAAGUUGGAACAUGUAAUGUUAAUCCUUUUGCACCAAAAUAUCUCUUUAAGUCUAAAUUAUCCACUUUUUUUUUUAAUUCUUCGUAGAGAUAGAGGUUUCGCUUUGUUGCCCAGGCUGUUCUUGACUUCCUAACUUCAAGCAAUCCUUCUGCCUCAGCCUCCCAGAGUGCUGGGAUUAUAGGCAUUUGCCACCGUGCCUGGUGUACCCAGUUUCUGUUAUCAACAGAAUGCAGUGGUGUAUGGUUGCUAAAGGGUCCCAAGAUCAGGACCUACGUUAAGGUGGAUUUUGAAUUAUUUAAAAUUCUGAUUUUGUUUUAUUUUUAAUUAAUCUUUGGGGGAAGGAUGGGAGGGGGGUGAGGGUUGAAGAAGUAAACAUUGUACCUAUUGGAUACAAUGUUUAAUAUUUGUGUGAUGGGCACACUGGAAGCCCAAACCUCACUAUUACACAAUACAUUCAUGUAACAAGCCUGCACAUGCACCUCCUGAAUCUAUUUUUAAAAAUUUAAUUCUCUAGCACAGACUCCCUUUUUUUGGUAAGAUGGCGGGGUACGACUUAACUACUCGCAUCACGCACCUUUUGGAUCGGCAUCUAGUCUUUCCGCUCCUUGAGUUUCUCUCUGUAAAGGAGAUAUAUAAAGAAAAGGAAUUAUUACAAGGUAAAUUGGACCUUCUUAGUGAUGCCAACAUGGUAGACUUUGCUAUGGAUGCAUACAAAAACCUUUAUUCUGAUGAUAUUCCUCAUGCUUUGAAAGAGAAUAGAACCACAGUUGUUGCACAACUGAAACAGCUUCAGGCAGAAACAGAACUAAUUGUGAAAAUGUUUGAAGAUCCAGAAACGACAAGGCAAAUGCGGUCAACCAGGGAUGGUAGGAUGCUCUUUGACUACCUGGCGGACAAGCAUGGUUUUAGGCAGGAGUAUUUAGAUACAUUCUACACAUAUGCAAAAUUCCAGUAUGAAUGUGGGAAUUACUCAGGAGCAGCAGAAUAUCUUUAUUUUUUCAGAGUGUUGGUUCCAGCAACAGACAGAAAUGCUGUAAGUUCACUCUGGGGAAAGCUGGCCUCUGAAAUCUUAAAGCAGAAUUGGGAUGCAGACAUGGAAGACCUUACAUGGUUAAAAGAGACCAUAGAUAAUAAUUCUGUGAGUUCUCCACUCCAGUCUCUUCAGCAGAGAGCAUGGCUCGUUCACUGGUCUCUGUUUUCUUCAAUCACCCCAAAGGUUGUGAUAAUAUUGUUGAUCUCUUCCUUUACCAGCCACAGCAUCUUAAUGUGUCCACACAUUCUUCACUAUUUGACUACAGCAGUCAUAGCAAACAAGGAUGUUCGAAAACGUUGGCAGGUGCUAAAAGAUCUAGGUAAAGUUACUCAACAGGAGUCUUACACAUAUAAAGACCCAAUUACAGAAUUUGUUGAAUGCUUAUAGAUUAACUUUGACUUAGAUGGGGCUAAGAAAAAGCUGAGAGAAUGUGAAUCAGUGCUUGUGAACGACUUCUUGGUGGCUUGUCUUAAGGAUUUCAUUGACAAUGCCCAUCUCUUCAUAUUUGAGACUUUCUGUCACAUCCACCAGUGUAUCAGCAUUAACAUGUUGGCAGACAAAUUGAACAUGACUCCAGAUGAAACUGAAAGGUGGAUUGUAAAUGUGAUUAGAAAUGCAAGACUGGAUGCCAAGAUUGAUUCUAAAUUAGGUCAUGUGGUUAUGGUAACAAUGUACUCUCACCCUAUCAGCAAGUGAUUGAAAAGACCAAAAGCCUUUCUUUUAGAAGCUAGAUUUUGGCCAUGAAUAUUGAGAAGAAACUUAAUGACAAUAGCAGGUCAGAGGCUCCUAACUGGGCAACUCAAGAUUCUGGCUUCUACUGAAGAAACAUAAGGAAAAGAUUUUAAAAAAACUCUAAAAGAAAGAUGAAAUAAUAAAACUAUUAUAUAAAGGGUGACUUACAUUUUGGAAACAACAUAUUGAGUGUAAAUUGUGAAGAAUUGGAAUAAAAUUGACUGAUUCAAAAAAAUUUAAUUCACAAAAAAAUUUUAAUCCUUUUAAGCUAAUUAUAGAUUCACAUGUAGUUGUAAGAAGUUACAAAGAGGCUAGGUGCAGUAGCUGACGCCCAUGAUCCCCGCACUUUGGGAGGCCGAGGCAGGCAGAUCUCUUGAGGCCAGGAGUUUGAGACUAGCCUGGCCAACAUGGCAAAACCCCAUCUCUACAAAAAAUUAGCAAAGCAUGGUGGCACAUGCCUGUAAUUACAGCUACUUGGGAGGCUGAGGCAUGAGAAUCACUUGACCUGGGAUUACAAGUGUAAUCCCAGCCAUAGGCUGGGUGCAGUGGCUCACACCUGUAAUCCCAGCACUUUGGGAGGCCAAGGUACGGGUGGAUCACCUGAGGUCAAGAGUUCAAGACCAGCCUGGCCAACAUGGUGAAACCCCGUCUCUACAAAAACACAAAAAUUAGCCGGGCAUGAUGGUGCGCACCUGUAAUCCCAGCUACUCAGGAGGCUGAGGCAGGAGAAUCGCAUGAACCCAGGAGGCAGAUGUUGCAGUGAGCCAAGAUCACGCCAUUGCACUCCAGCCUGGGCAACAGAGUGAGACUCCACCUCAAAAAAAAAAAAACAAAAAAAAACCACCAGCCAUUUGGGAAGCCAAGGCAGGAUUGCUUGAGACCAACCAGAAGUUCAAGGUUGCCUGGGCAACAGAGCAAGACUGUCUCGAGACAAAACAAAAAGUCAGCAUCUUCUGCCCACUUUUACUUUAACAUACAUUUAUGGAUCUAUUGUCUCUUUCCCUGUUCUAAAACUUUAAAUUUCACAAGAAUGAAGAUUUUGCUGUCUUGUUUCCUGCUGUGUCCCCAGCAUAAACAGCAUAAAGAAGUGCCAUAAGAUAGAAAUUUUUGUUUUCUGUUCACCAGUAUAUCCACAGCACCUAGAACAGCAUCUGCUUUAGACUUAUUAGAUGAAGACUUAAAAAAAAAAGGAACAGCACUUCUGCACAUAUUUAGCACUUGAUACAUAUUUGUGGAAUAAUUUCUAUCAUAACUAGCAGCUACUUCCUAAUUUGAUAUGUAGCAUCCCGUAUUAACAGGACUUUUGUGAAUGGAGAGGACAUCUAUUUAUUCUUUGUUAUGUGCCAAAUAUAUUUGUAUUAAUCAUAACUCUUAAUAUUCCUUUAAAAUUAAAUAAUUGUUUCCACAGCUCUUAAAAUAGAAUUUAGGAACCUAGCAACAUGCCACUCAUCCAUUAACAGUGAUAAAUUAUUUAAUUUUAUAAACUUUUCAUUAAAGUAACUGAUAUAGUUUGGA
rnacentral:lncRNA from 1 species